GCGGAAGUGGCGGAACUGGCAUACGCGCAGGUCUCAGAAGCCUGUGUCGCAAGACUUGAGAGUUCAAAUCUCUCCUUCCGCACCA
rnacentral:tRNA from 1 species